AUGUUCUCUACAUCUCUACUGCUCCUGCUGGCAGCUGCUUCCUGUGUUCACAGUGUUGAGCUGACCCAGCCUGCAUCCUCAGUAGUAACCCCUGGUCAGUCACUGACUCUGACCUGUAAAGUGUCUGGAUAUUCAGUAACUGACCGCAGCUACUGUACACACUGGAUACGACAACCUGAAGGGAAAACUCUGGAGUGGAUCGGGGAGAUAUGUGGUAGCGGUAACACUUACUACAGUGAGAAACUGAAAAGCAGGUUUCAGGUUUCCAGAGACACGUCCAGCAGCACAGUAACAUUAACAGGACAGAACAUGCAGACUGAAGACACAGCUGUGUAUUACUGCGCUCGGGAACCCACAGUGAGACAGAUCAACAACAUCCCUGUACAAAAACCCCCAGUACAGAAACCUUAG